UGCACGGAGCCCUUCACCCCCUCCCUGAGCCCCCGUCUCCCCCUGGCCUGCUCCCACAGCCUGUCCCCUCUCCCUGCCGCAGACUGGAGCCUUCCUACUCCAGGCGGUGCUUUUAACCCUUUCUCUGUCUCCCGCAAGGCAGGUGCGUUGCAGAGAGCCUGGCUGCCAGAAGACGGCUGUCCCCUGCCUCUGUGGGUGCAGCACCGACGCAGCACCUACGCUUUCCAUCACGCAGGCAGCUCCUGAGAGGUGAUGGCCAGUGAAGGGCAGAGGAAGAGGAGGCGUUCAGUGUGCAGCAGGUGCCGAGGCGACACUCGCCACAACAAAUCCCUGUGAUUCAGCCCUGGAGCAUCUGCCACCGCCAGGGACUGAACGUUAACAAAUGGCACAAACGGCAACAAAUGGCUGAGGGGGCUGAUGUCACGCAGCUGCUUCUGCCCAGAUGUCCCGGAGCCCCCAAGAAGUGGAGCUACUGUGCACGAAUUCACUCUGCCAUGCCUGGUAAGGGUGGUGCUCUUCAGCUCCGCUUUGCCUGAGAGACACCCCAGAAGUGCUUGCUGGCCGAAAUCUUUCUGGUUCUCUGUUGCUGAUGACAACAUGGAACUGCGAAGGUCUUCCAGUCUGGAGGACAGCAUUAACUGGAGCAGGAUCCAGUGGCUGGAAACUGGCAGAGGACCCCUGGGAUUUGGAAUAAGGUCCUGACCAUUGGAGUGACUUCCCAAGGCAGAUUAACCCACUCAGUUUCAGGCUAGGAAAACCUGCAAUGAGAAAGAAGUCCACUCUGAACUGACCCUGCUGAGCUGCUUGACCCCAUGGACAAAUGAGUGACAGUGGAGCAUGGUGCA